GUUUUAUGAAUCUUACAGUAAUAAAUAUAACUGAAUUAAGACCUACGAAUGAUAUUUCAGCAGCAGGAGAAUUACUCUUGUGAUUACCAGUGUUCAUUACUUCCUAAAAAUGUGAAGGAGGCAGCUUACCACGGAAGCUAUAAAUACAGAGCAAAUAAACAAGUAUUUAAAGAGUAAUAAUAACAAUUAAUAAUAAUAACGCAAAACACAGUGGAGAGAAAGAUCAUUUCUGACACCUGAAGUGCUAUUAUCACCAUUGGUGUCCUUGCUGAAUGGAAGAUCAAACAUAGAAAUCUGUUAUUCUAAACUGGAAGUAUCUAAGAGAAGAAGAUGUAAAUAAGGAAAUAAAACAAGUAGAAGUAAAUACAAAGCCAUAAAAGUAUGCCAGAGCUGUCAAUCUCAAAACCCACAAAAGAGGGAAAUUUGAAAACAUUCUGGAUUUGUAUUAUACUAUUGAAUGCAUUGUGGGUUUUUUCGUAUGGCUGGAAGGAGACAGCUUUAAAUGAACUUUUCACGGGGGAAAAAAUAGGUGAAGCAUUGAGAGUUGGCUGCAGGAACGCAGGGACUGAAAUCUUCAGAAGCCAGGGGACUUGGCCCACGGCAAGAGUCAUAGCCCCCACAUUUAUCUAGAGAAGAACGUCCCCGUAAUUACUGGUUUUCGGCACAAAAACUAUCCAUGUGAUGCAAUCCAGAAGGAUUCAUUAAAAAAAAAAUCAACGGAAUACUUGUAAUUAGAAAGGACACCAAAAACGUAUGUGAGCUGAAUGCCAGAAGUGAGUUUCACUCUGUAUGCAUAUCAAUAUCCUUGUAAUCCUCCUGCCAUCAAUAAUAAUCAUAAUUCAGGUGAGGGAAACAAAAAGAAGUCAGAGGUGUUAUGCAAAAACUGUUUUUACAAAAUGAAAGUGAAAAGACAGGAGAAAAAUUCAGCCGGGGAAUUACUCUCACUUUAUGAAUUGUGACCUCUCAUCUCUGUGUAUGGUAGCUGUCCCCAUUACUUGAAUCUACAGAGAUGUCAUUAAAAUUCAAUAUGGCUUUAAAAAUAUGCACGUUUCUAACAUUUAUAACACUGCCACUUGUCUCAGGGUGAGGCCCCAAUGUAUGUUUUGAUAUUUUAUUGUCAAAACUGUGUGUACUCUUCACCCCAAAUUUCUAAAAAAACCCAGAAAGCACAAAGCAAAACCCAG
rnacentral:lncRNA from 1 species